rnacentral:tRNA from 4 species
GCGGGUGUAGCUCAGUUGGUUAGAGUGCCGGCCUGUCACGCCGGAGGUCGCGGGUUCGAGCCCCGUCACUCGCGCC